GUGCUCGCUUCGGAAGUACGUAUACUAAAAUUGGAAAGAUACAGAGAUUAGCACGGCCCUGCACAAGGAUGACACGCAAAUUCGUGAAGCGUUCCAUAUUAAA
rnacentral:snRNA from 1 species